AUUGAACGCUGGCGGCAGGCCUAACACAUGCAAGUCGAACGAGUGGCGGACGGGUGAGUAAUGUCUGGGAAACUGCCUGAUGGAGGGGGAUAACUACUGGAAACGGUAGCUAAUCCCGCAUACCAUCAGCUGUCCCCAUAGGGGUUUAGCUUGUUGGUGGGGAAACGGCUCACCAAGGAGACGCGCCCUAGCUGGUCUGAGAGGAUGACCAUCCACACUGGAACGGAGACACGGUCCAGAGUCCUACGGUAGGCAGCAGUGGGGAAUAUUGCACAAUGGGCGCAAGCCUGAUGCAGCCAUGCCGCGUGUAUGAAGAAGGCCUUCGGGUUGUAAAGUACUUUCAGCGGGGAGGCGUGACCCGCAGAAGAAGCACCGGCUAACUCCGUGCCAGCAGCCGCGGUAAUUC
rnacentral:rRNA from 1 species